GCGUAUGCAGACAGACUUAUGCAGAGAAGCAGCACAGAGGCUGCUGAGAUACAGAGACAAGUAAGCAGUGGAGCAGCAGGGGAAUAGCACUCAAAAGCAGCAGAAGGGAGCAGCACUUGGAAGUAGAAAGAAGAAGUACUGGCAGAAUGGGACCCUUUGAUGGUGGAAAGACCUAAUGUGAUUCUAAAAACACUAUCACCAUUUCACAAAUGGGUAAACAGAUAUAAUUAAAGGUGAAGCUGAAGAGAGAAAAGGAAUCCAGUUUGAGUAAGGCCUUUAUAACUUUCCCCAAACAGUUGACCAUGAAGCAGCUGCUGGGAUAGCCUGUUUUAUCCAUUCUUCUCCAAUAUUCCUCCUAUUGGGGCUACACUUUUAGGAGCCUUGCUUCAAAUCUGGAAAACAUGAAUUAUCUCACUGAGAAGUUUGAGGAGAGCCUGAAUUGCUGAGAAGAAACUGAAUUUUCUAGCUAAGAAGUUUAAGAAGAACCUGAAUUGCUGAGGAGAAACUGAAUAAUCUUUCUGAGAAGUCUGUGAAAAGCCUGAAUUACUGGGGAGGAAUGGAAUUGUUUUGCAGUGGAAUUUGAGGAGAAGUUAAAUUGUCCUGCUGAGAAGAAGAAAGAUGCCAGACUGGGGAUAAACCUGUGGGGUAAGAGCUUCAUCAAAUAAUGAGUGGAAGACAGCAGGACCCCCGCUGCACCUCUCUUUCUCUCCUCCCACUUCUCCCAAAACAAAUGAUAAAAGGGGGAAAGAACAGGUCCCGUGGGCCAUGGCAAAACCAUCUAAGACAUGCACUGAGACCCUUACUGUGACUGUGAACAAACCACCUGAGUUGAAUCAGGACAUCAUGCUGCAGGCAGCCGGACUUCUUGAACUCCUCCGACAUGGGACUAUCUGCAUGACUUUGCGGUAAACCACUUAUACUUGUCAUAAUUUAUGCAUGUAAG